rnacentral:rRNA from 1 species
GACGAACGCUGGCGGCGUGCUUAACACAUGCAAGUCGAACGGAAAGGCCCUGCUUUUGUGGGGUGCUCGAGUGGCGAACGGGUGAGUAACACGUGAGUAACCUGCCCUUGACUUUGGGAUAACUUCAGGAAACUGGGGCUAAUACCGGAUAGGAGCUCCUGCUGCAUGGUGGGGGUUGGAAAGUUUCGGCGGUUGGGGAUGGACUCGCGGCUUAUCAGCUUGUUGGUGGGGUAGUGGCUGACCAAGGCUUUGACGGGUAGCCGGCCUGAGAGGGUGACCGGCCACAUUGGGACUGAGGUACGGCCCAGACUCCUACGGGAGGCAGCAGUGGGGAAUAUUGCACAAUGGGCGGAAGCCUGAUGCAGCAACGCCGCGUGCGGGAUGACGGCCUUCGGGUUGUAAACCGCUUUCGCCUGUGACGAAGCGUGAGUGACGGUAAUGGGUAAAGAAGCACCGGCUAACUACGUG